rnacentral:rRNA from 1 species
GAUGAACGCUGGCGGCGUGCCUAAUACAUGCAAGUAGAACGCUGAAGGAGGAGCUUGCUCUUCUGGAUGAGUUGCGAACGGGUGAGUAACACGUAGGUAACCUGCCUGGUAGCGGGGGAUAACUAUUGGAAACGAUAGCUAAAACCGCAUGACAACAGUUAUUGCAUGAUAACUGUUUAAAAGGGGCAACUGCUCCACUACCAGAUGGACCUGCGUUGUAUUAGCUAGUUGGUGAGGUAACGGCUCACCAAGGCGACGAUACAUAGCCGACCUGAGAGGGUGAUCGGCCACCCUGGGACUGAGACCCGGCCCAUACUCCUACGGGAGGCAGCAGUAGGGAAUCUUCGGCAAUUGACCGAAGUCUGACCGAGCAACGCCGCGUGAGUGAAGAAGGUUUUCGGAUCGUAAAGCUCUGUUGUAAGAGAAGAACGAGUGUGAGAGUGGAAAGUUCACACUGUGGCGGUAUCUUACCAGAAAGGGACGGCUAACUACGUG